rnacentral:tRNA from 1 species
CAUUAAGAAGCUAAGUAGCACUAACCUUUUAAGUUAGAGAGUGAGAGCUUAGAUCUCUCCUUAAUGA